rnacentral:rRNA from 1 species
UACGUAGGGUGCAAGCGUUGUCCGGAAUUAUUGGGCGUAAAGAGCUUGUAGGCGGUUUGUCGCGUCUGCUGUUAAAUUUCGGGGCUCAACCCCGAACUUGCAGUGGGUACGGGCAGACUAGAGUGUGGUAGGGGAGACUGGAAUUCCUGGUGUAGCGGUGAAAUGCGCAGAUAUCAGGAGGAACACCGGUGGCGAAGGCAGGUCUCUGGGCAUUAACUGACGCUGAGGAGCGAAAGCAUGGGGAGCGAACAGG